rnacentral:siRNA from 1 species
CGCACAUCUUUAUUCGGAGCCUA